AGUGAACGCUGGCGGUGUGCCUAAUACAUGCAAGUCGAACGGAGUGGCGCACGGGUGAGAAAUAUAUAGCUAAACUGCCCCUUGCUGGAGGACAACAGUUAGAAAUGACUGCCAGUACUCCAUAGCAAGGGAUGAGACUAUAUCGUAUCAGCUAGUCGGUGGGGUAACGGCGUACCGAGGGUAUGACGCGUAACUGGUCUGAGAGGAUGAGCAGCUACAGUGGAAGUGAGACACGGUGGAGACUCCUACGGGAGGCAGCAGAAGCGAAUAUUGCGCAAUGGGGGAAACCCUUACGCAGCAACGCCGCGUGGAGGAUGACACUUUGCGGAGCGUAAACACCUUUUAUUAGGGAAGCGGUACCUGACGAAUAAGCACCGGCUAACUCCGUGCCAGCAGCCGCGGUAAUUC
rnacentral:rRNA from 1 species